ACACAUUUGGCGAUAAAACAGACACUGAGCAGUAGGAUGGAGACCCCAGCAACAGUCCAUAAGAACACCUGGGAAGAGAAGCAUCCGUUCUCUGCAGAAAGACACAAACAUGGAUUUCCUUUCUUGCAUAAGGAGGACAAGGGAGUUUACUGGGCAACAAGUCCAUCGCCUCGCUCCACAAAACAACAAAAUGGGGAAAUGAUGAAAUGCUCUUGAACAGUCUACGUGGAUUUAUAUGUCUUUCAUCAAGUGCUGACUACUAGGCUGUUUUAUCGCUCCGCCUCAUGCCCCGCCUCACGCAGUGUGACUACGCACUGUGGACCGCAGCUCAGUCUCUCACAUCGUAACGCUUCUGAAGCUUCAGAGACUCAGUGCACAUUUUUUGGCUCAGUGAUACACAGCCAAGGGUUAACAUCAAUAUUUGGCUUGAGCCUUCAGAAAAUAACAUUCUGGGAUAUAAAAUAAAUCUAAAAUGUCAUCUGAAAGCAAUUAUUUUCAUUGUAACUUAAUAUUGAAACCUUAUUAGGUAAAUGUAACGCAGGGACAUUACAGGGUGGGAACAUUAGUUACUCGUCAGAGCAGGUGGUACUUUCUUGUGGUCACUAUGCUGCAGAUUUUCCAUAUGAGACAAACACUUCAUUGUGGGGGAGCAGAGAACCACAUAUGUUUGGAUAUUUCACUUUUCUUUAAUCCUUUCUUAUUCAUACUCUUUAACAACAGCCAAGCAUACUUACUGUAACAAAUAUGAUUUUUCAUGAAUUUUGUUGAACAAGAUUCUGGAAUUUUUCUCCCUUAAUGAAAUUUUGAAGUGGCAAAAUGGAUAUUCUGCUGUUAAUUUAUCUUUGUAAGAUGUGAACAAU